GAUCAUGGCUCAGGAUGAACGCUAGCUACAGGCUUAACACAUGCAAGUCGAGGGGAAACGACAUCGAAAGCUUGCUUCCGAUGGGCGUCGACCGGCGCACGGGUGAGUAACGCGUAUCCAACCUGCCCACCACUUGGGGAUAACCUUGCGAAAGUAAGACUAAUACCUGAUGGUAUCUUAAGCACACAUGUAAUUAAGAUUAAAGAUUUAUCGGUGUACGAUGGGGAUGCGUUCCAUUAGGUAGUAGG
rnacentral:rRNA from 1 species